rnacentral:rRNA from 2 species
CACCUGAUUGACGAUGGAUUACCAGUGAGUGGCGGACGGGUGAGUAACACGUAGGUAACCUGCCCCGGAGCGGGGGAUAACAUUUGGAAACAGAUGCUAAUACCGCAUAACAACAAAGGCCACAUGGCUUUUGUUUGAAAGAUGGCUUUGGCUAUCACUCUGGGAUGGACCUGCGGUGCAUUAGCUAGUUGGUAAGGUAACGGCUUACCAAGGCGAUGAUGCAUAGCCGAGUUGAGAGACUGAUCGGCCACAAUGGAACUGAGACACGGUCCAUACUCCUACGGGAGGCAGCAGUAGGGAAUCUUCCACAACGAGCGCAACCCUGAUGGAGCAACACCGCGUGAGUGAAGAAGGGUUUCGGCUCGUAAAGCUCUGUUGUUGGAGAAGAACGUGCGUGAGAGUAACUGUUCACGCAGUGACGGUAUCCAACCAGAAAGUCACGGCUAACUACGUGCCAGCAGCCGCGGUAAUACGUAGGUGGCAAGCGUUAUCCGGAUUUAUUGGGCGUAAAGCGAGCGCAGGCGGUUGCUUAGGUCUGAUGUGAAAGCCUUCGGCUUAACCGAAGAAGUGCAUCGGAAACCGGGCGACUUGAGUGCAGAAGAGGACAGUGGAACUCCAUGUGUAGCGGUGGAAUGCGUAGAUAUAUGGAAGAACACCAGUGGCGAAAGCGGCUGUCUGGUCUGCAACUGACGCUCAGGCUCGAAAGCAUGGGUAGCGAACAGGAUUAGAUACCCUGGUAGUCCAUGCCGUAACGAUGAGUGCUAGGUGUU